AGGAUGAACGCUGGCGGCGUGCUUAAUACAUGCAAGUCGAGCGGAAAGGCUCCUUCGGGAGUACUCGAGCGGCGGACGGCUGUUAGUAACGCGUAGGAACGUACCCCAAAGUGAGGGAUAAGCACCAGAAAUGGUGUCUAAUACCGCAUGUGCUCUACGGAGUAAAGCUUCGGCGCUUUGGGAACGGCCUGCGUUUGAUUAGCUUGUUGGUGAGGUAAUGGCUCACCAAGGCAACGAUCAAUAGCUGGUCUGAGAGGAUGAUCAGCCAGACUGGGACUGAGACACGGCCCAGACUCCUACGGGAGGCAGCAGUAGGGAAUUUUCCACAAUGGGCGAAAGCCUGAUGGAGCAACGCCGCGUGCAGGAUGAAGGCCUUCGGUUGUAAACUGCUUUUAUAUGUGAAGAAUAUGACGGUAGCAUAUGAAUAAGGAUCGGCUAACUCCGUGCCAGCAGCCGC
rnacentral:rRNA from 1 species